rnacentral:rRNA from 1 species
UACGUAGGGUGCGAGCGUUAAUCGGAAUUACUGGGCGUAAAGCGUGCGCAGGCGGUUCGUUAAGUUCGUUGUGAAAGCCCCGGGCUCAACCUGGGAACUGCAAUGGAAACUGGCGGGCUUGAAUGCGGCAGAGGGGGGUGGAAUUCCGCGUGUAGCAGUGAAAUGCGUAGAUAUGCGGAGGAACACCGAUGGCGAAGGCAAUCCCCUGGACCUGUACUGACGCUCAUGCACGAAAGCGUGGGGAGCAAACAGG